AGAAUCUUUCGUUCAAUAGAUAUACUAUUAUGACGGGAAUGACCUUAUUAUCACGGUAUAUGUUUUGGGGAUUCGAGGAGUGUUAUUUCGUUGAUGAACGCAAUCAGACGAAGUUCUAUUCAGCUAGUAUAUUACAUUUUACGCUAAAUCCUGUUGCUCUUCUUUAUACCAGAUUAUCGUUUACUGUCAAUAUUUUGAACAAGAAAAAUGCCAUAAUCCACUUUUUCAGGUUAAAUGGUAGUUUACUAAAUAAAAGGGUGGGAAGGAUAUAUAGUAUUUUAGAUCACGCGAGUUUUUUUUCAUAUUUUUUGUGAUUUUUAUAGUUUGUUGGAGAACAUGUGCUUUAUGUUACCUUAUUUUUUUGUUUUUUUUUAUUGUCCAUCAUCUAUGGAGUACGGAAUUAUAAUUUUCCUUUGAAAUGAUUACUUUUUGCAUUUCCCUGUUCACAUGGAUUUCAAAGAUAAAAGCUAAUAUAAAUUAUCAUUCAGGUUGUUUAGAACGCAUCAUUGGCCAUCAAAUUCAUUUUGAAUAACCUAUCAGCAUGUAUUAACUCCUAAGCCAUGUGAAAGAUUGUUGUUGUUUGCUUAAAGACUUUAAGUCCACUGGAGAAUAAUUCAUGCAUAUAAAGGACGAUAACAAAUAAAAAUAAAUCAAAUAGAUCGGUUCUGCAAAGAAUUGGAGACCGGGAUGGAAGGUUGGACACUAGUUUAAAAAGACAUUCCUAUAAUCAUCUCUGUCAAACUGGAUUGCUUAAUCACACAGGCACUUUGGUACAGGAUUUAGAUUUGUUUUUUCAUUGUUUGCACUGAACAUUCAAUUUUCUAUUGUUAUACCACAUACUCAACACUAAUAAGCUGGUCUUACUCAAGUUGUUUUGGGUUAAUUUAUCCACUCCGAUACAAUCCCUUAUUCAACUACCCAUAAUUAAUAAAUGCUCCGCCGAGCGCAGCUGGAUACGACCGCAGAGGUCCAACCCUGAACAGUUGGGGCAAAAAUGGACACAAUAUUCGUGCUUGAUACAGGUCUGAAUUUGGAUUGAAAUUAAAUGUUUGACACAUAAAAGGUUUCUGACACAGAAUAACUGUAGUCAAAGAACUUAGAAUUGGCUAUAUGAUUUGAAUUUAUAUUCAAUUUUUAGCUUUUGUGCAAUACACUAUGCUGUUGCGAAUAGACCUCCCCCCCCCAACCACCCCCCUUUUAAAAAAAAAAAAAUUUGAA